GACAAACGCUGGCGGCAUGCCUAACACAUGCAAGUCGAACGGACAGAACAGGGAAGCUUUUCGGAGUGGAACUGGAAAGUUAGUGGCGGAUGGGUGAGUAACGCGUGGACAACCUACCUUGUAAAGGGGAAUAACCUCGAGAAAUCGAAGCUAAUACCCCAUAAUAACCUUGCUUCGCAUGAAGUAAGGAGGAAAGGCGGCCUUAGCGCUGUCGAUAUAAGAUGGGUCCGCGUCUGAUUAGCUAGUUGGUGAGGUAAAGGCUCACCAAGGCGACGAUCAGUAGCCGGCCUGAGAGGGUGAACGGCCACAUUGGGACUGAGACACGGCCCAAACUCCUACGGGAGGCAGCAGUGGGGAAUCUUCCGCAAUGGGCGAAAGCCUGACGGAGCAAUGCCGCGUGAGUGAAGAAGGCCUUCGGGUUGUAAAACUCUGUCCUUAUCGAAGAGAGAGUGUUGUAGUAACUGACAAUACUAGGACGGUAGAUGAGGAGGAAGCCCCGGCUAACUAUGUG
rnacentral:rRNA from 1 species